AACGAACGCUGGCGGCAGGCCUAACACAUGCAAGUCGAGCGAGGACUUCGGUCCUAGCGGCGGACGGGUGAGUAACGCGUGGGAACGUGCCCUUUGCUACGGAAUAGCCCCGGGAAACUGGGAGUAAUACCGUAUGUGCCCGAGAGGGGAAAGAUUUAUCGGCAAAGGAUCGGCCCGCGUUGGAUUAGGUAGUUGGUGGGGUAAUGGCCUACCAAGCCGACGAUCCAUAGCUGGUUUGAGAGGAUGAUCAGCCACACUGGGACUGAGACACGGCCCCGACUCCUACGGGAGGCAGCAGUGGGGAAUCUUAGACAAUGGGGAAACCCUGAUCUAGCCAUGCCGCGUGAGCGAUGAAGGCCUUAGGGUUGUAAAGCUCUUUCAGUGGGGAAGAUAAUGACGGUACCCACAGAAGAAGCCCCGGCUAACUCCGUGCCAGCCGCCGCAGUAA
rnacentral:rRNA from 1 species